rnacentral:rRNA from 1 species
CCCUUAGAUGUUCUGGGCCGCACGCGUGCUACACUGAGUAAAUCAAUGGGUAAGGGAACACGAAAGUGCAACCUAAUCUUGAAAUUUGCUCGUGAUGGGGAUCGACGGUUGCAAUUUUCCGUCGUGAACGAGGAAUACCUUGUAGGCGCGUGUCAUCAUCACGCGCCGAAUACGUCCCUGCCCUUUGUACACACCGCCCGUCGCUCCUACCGAUUGAGUGAUCCGGUGAGGCUCUGGGACCUGGACGGAAAGAGCGUUUCGCUUGUUCUGUUUGGGAAACUUGGUCGAACCUUAUCAUUUAGGGGAAGGAGAAGUCGUAACA